ACAUGCAAGUCGAACGGCAGCACGGGUGCUUGCACCUGGUGGCGAGUGGCGAACGGGUGAGUAAUACAUCGGAACAUGUCCUGUAGUGGGGGAUAGCCCGGCGAAAGCCGGAUUAAUACCGCAUACGAUCUACGGAUGAAAGCGGGGGACCUUCGGGCCUCGCGCUAUAGGGUUGGCCGAUGGCUGAUUAGCUAGUUGGUGGGGUAAAGGCCUACCAAGGCGACGAUCAGUAGCUGGUCUGAGAGGACGACCAGCCACACUGGGACUGAGACACGGCCCAGACUCCUACGGGAGGCAGCAGUGGGGAAUUUUGGACAAUGGGCGAAAGCCUGAUCCAGCAAUGCCGCGUGUGUGAAGAAGGCCUUCGGGUUGUAAAGCACUUUUGUCCGGAAAGAAAUCCUUGGUUCUAAUAUAGCCGGGGGAUGACGGUACCGGAAGAAUAAGCACCGGCUAACUACGUGCCAGCAGCCGCGGUAAUACGUAGGGUGCGAGCGUUAAUCGGAAUUACUGGGCGUAAAGCGUGCGCAGGCGGUUUGCUAAGACCGAUGUGAAAUCCCCGGGCUCAACCUGGGAACUGCAUUGGUGACUGGCAGGCUAGAGUAUGGCAGAGGGGGGUAGAAUUCCACGUGUAGCAGUGAAAUGCGUAGAGAUGUGGAGGAAUACCGAUGGCGAAGGCAGCCCCCUGGGCCAAUACUGACGCUC
rnacentral:rRNA from 1 species